rnacentral:rRNA from 1 species
CUCUGGUAUUGAUUGAUGCUUGCAUCAUGAUUUACAUUUGAGUGAGUGGCGAACUGGUGAGUAACACGUGGGAAACCUGCCCAGAAGCGGGGGAUAACACCUGGAAACAGAUGCUAAUACCGCAUAACAACUUGGACCGCAUGGUCCGAGCUUGAAAGAUGGCUUCGGCUAUCACUUUUGGAUGGUCCCGCGGCGUAUUAGCUAGAUGGUGGGGUAACGGCUCACCAUGGCAAUGAUACGUAGCCGACCUGAGAGGGUAAUCGGCCACAUUGGGACUGAGACACGGCCCAAACUCCUACGGGAGGCAGCAGUAGGGAAUCUUCCACAAUGGACGAAAGUCUGAUGGAGCAACGCCGCGUGAGUGAAGAAGGGUUUCGGCUCGUAAAACUCUGUUGUUAAAGAAGAACAUAUCUGAGAGUAACUGUUCAGGUAUUGACGGUAUUUAACCAGAAAGCCACGGCUAACUACGUGCCAGCAGCCGCGGUAAUACGUAGGUGGCAAGCGUUGUCCGGAUUUAUUGGGCGUAAAGCGAGCGCAGGCGGUUUUUUAAGUCUGAUGUGAAAGCCUUCGGCUCAACCGAAGAAGUGCAUCGGAAACUGGGAAACUUGAGUGCAGAAGAGGACAGUGGAACUCCAUGUGUAGCGGUGAAAUGCGUAGAUAUAUGGAAGAACACCAGUGGCGAAGGCGGCUGUCUGGUCUGUAACUGACGCUGAGGCUCGAAAGUAUGGGUAGCAAACAGGAUUAUAUACCCUGGUAGUCCAUACCGUAAACGAUGAAUGCUAUGUGUUGUACGGUUGCCGCCCUUCCCUGCUGCGCUAACGCAUUUAGGAUUCCGCCUGGGGUUUACGAUAGCACGUAGAAAACUCACACGAAUUGUUUUGGCCCGCACAAGCCCGGAUCUGUUGCUUAUUCUAAUUC